GACGAACGCUGGCGGCGUGCUUAACACAUGCAAGUCGAACGAUGAAGCGGUGCUUGCGCCGUGGGUUAGUGGCGCACGGGUGAGUAAUACGUGAGUGUCCUACCUUUGACUCUGUGAUAAGCCUGGGAAACUGGGUCUAAUACCGGAUACGACCAAUCUCUGCAUGGGGUGUUGGUGGAAAGCGUUAUGGAGUGGUUUUAGAUGGGCUCGCGGCCUAUCAGCUUGUUGGUGAGGUAAUGGCUUACCAAGGCGACGACGGGUAGCCGGCCUGAGAGGGUGACCGGCCACACUGGGACUGAGACACGGCCCAGACUCCUACGGGAGGCAGCAGUGGGGAAUAUUGCACAAUGGGCGGAAGCCUGAUGCAGCAACGCCGCGUGCGGGAUGACGGCCUUCGGGUUGUAAACCGCUUUCGCCUGUGACGAAGCGUGAGUGACGGUAAUGGGUAAAGAAGCACCGGCUAACUACGUG
rnacentral:rRNA from 1 species